CAGGCCUAACACAUGCAAGUCGAGCGGGUCGCAAGAUCAGCGGCAAACGGGUGCGUAACGCGUAAGCAACCUGCCCACUACUGGGGGAUAGCCCGGCGAAAGCGGGGGUAAACCCGCAUGGUCCUUUUGGCUCACCUGGGUCGGAAGGUAAACAUUAAUGGGUAGUGGAGGGGCUUGCGUCUGAUUAGCUAGUUGGCGGGGUAAGGGCCCACCAAGGCGAUGAUCAGUAGGGGUUCUGAGAGGAUUGGCCCCCACAUGGGUACUGAGAUACGGACCCAACUCCUACGGGAGGCAGCAGUAGGGAAUAUUGGGCAAUGGGCGCAAGCCUGACCCAGCCAUGCCGCGUGCAGGAUGAAGGCGCUCAGCGUUGUAAACUGCUUUUAGCUGGGAAGAACGGCAGGCCUGCGGGCUUGUGUGACGGUACCAGCGGAAUAAGCACCGGCUAACUCCGUGCCAGCAGCCGCGGUAAU
rnacentral:rRNA from 1 species